GGCGGAGAACGGCCGUUACGGUGUCGAGUCGUUGCCGUAGUAUAAAUAUUGUAGUCAGUGGCAACGUGACCGUUCGCGCACGCCGUUCACCGUCGCGCUGGCACAUAGUGUUAUAAUAAUAUUAUUAUCUACGCGCGAUACUAAUACGUUACAACACCCGUCGCACUCGUGUCGUAUAAUAUUGUUAUUAUUCACGCCGGACGUCUUCCGCGCCCGCGUGUGUUUCCCGGCAAGUCCGCGCUCGACACGCGUGUCAACCCGCCGUCCCCCCCGACUAUACGUUCUCCCCCGAUGCGCGUUGCCGACAGCUGCAGUGUUCUUCGCCCUUCGAACUAAGUGGCCCUACGCCCUUACACCGAUUUGAUAAUCGCUAGCGCAACCCCACGGGAGCUUUCGUAGUAACUCGCUACCGUUUGAUUUUUCCGCGUCUGUGCGCGGGUGUUUGUUUGUGUGUAUCCUGUGUAUUCGCGUGUGCGUGUGUACGUCCGACUGGAUAUCCUGACGGCGCUGACGACGAUGGAGACCGAAGAGAUCACCAAACUCGUAGAUGGCAUCUAUAAGAACAUAUUGGAGAAGUUCAAUCCAGGUGCCCGGCAAAUGAUUAACGCGGGCAAGGCAUAUCUGAAAGCACUUCAAGGAGCCGCUUCAGCUUCCAAAUUAUAUACGGACGCCAUAAUGAGAUUGGCCAAACAAUCACAGCAAGGAACUUGGGGAGGAUCAGCCGAUAUUGGUUCAGCACUUAUGCAGAUCGUUGAGGUUUACAAGGAAAUCCAAUCACAGCAGCUAAACAUUCUGAAAGCGUUUUAUGUGGAUUUGCUAUUGCCGCUGGAGACAAAUCUCGAAAAGGAUACCAAAGUUGUACAGUCCGAACAAAAACGAUUUUUGCAACAACAUAAACAAAGAUCCGAAAGUUAUAGCAAGGCUGCAUCAGCUAUGAAAAAGUGCCGUAAAAAGCAUAAGGUUGGACCCAAAGCAGGAUUGGCCAUGGAUAAAGAAAUUAAGACUAUGCAAAUCCUAGAAGAAGAAAAAUCUAAAUUGGAUAACUUUUGCGAACAAAGUUUGAAAAAUGCCAUGACACAGGAGAGACGUAGAUAUGGUUUCGUGUUAGAAAGACAGUGUUCGUUGGUUAAACACUGUCUAGCGUAUCAUACCAACACCCAGUCAAUGUACGAUGAACAUCUUAAUGAUUGGCUCGAUGUGGCUAAGUCUCGAGAACGAUUGCCAGAAUCUGUUGAAACCAUGUUUGCAACAAAACUUCGACAAGUAAGCUUCUGGCUGGAUGAUGAUGUUAGUUCUCCACGAAUCGACGACGAUAGGAUUUCGAUGUCAUCACAAUUGAGAAAAACGAAAUCAAUGGAUGCGUCUUGCUUGGAUGUUCGAGCCAUGAAUGAUAUAUCCAGUCCGGUUUUAAAUUAUCCGCUUUCUAGAGCCAAAUCAGAUUUCAAUUUGAACGCAUCAUCGCAGUCGCUGAACAGAAUGGAGAACGGUUCGAGUCCGGGAAAUAAUGGAUCCAGACCAAAGUCGAUGGCAGUAGUUGAUAACGGAUGGGAAUCUCAGGGUGCAAAUCUUGUGCAAGCCACACAUGCUUAUCUGUCGAGCGGUGAAAAUCAACUAAGCUUCCACGAAGGAGACACAAUCGCUAUAUCAGGGGAACGAAACAAAGGAUGGCAAUUUGGAGAGAACUUACGUACUCAGUGUAGUGGUUGGUUCCCGUUAACGUAUACCGAACCCGUAAUGGAGGACUCAGUCUUUUCGGACUCGCCGUCAUCAUAUCGACGAAAGGAUUCCAUGGGCCAGUCCACCGUCUCGAACCACAACAGAAGUGAAUCGGCAACCAUCGGCAAACAAAACCGUUAUCAAACUACAACACUUACGAGAUUCGGUGAUUCUUUGUCUCACAGAAAUCCAUAUCCGGCACGGUCCAGGGCCAACAGUAGAUCGAAUGGUUACGGGAUAAACUCGCACGGGCCUCCGCCUCCGUCCGUUCCUGCUCCAGUAGUGCCUCGUCAGUAUGGAGGGCACAUACCACCCCCGGUCGCGUUUUUCCCACCACCACCGCAGACAUUGCCACCUGCACCAGGAAAACCAAUCGCUAUCGACAAGAGAACCGGUGGAGUUCACCACCAACACGGUAACGCGAGCUUGCACAGCAGCAACGACAGCGGUUUCAGUAACGAUCCGCCGCCGGCGCCCGAAAUUGACUAUUCGGAUGACGAAAACGCGAGAACGAUCAAAGAUCCGAAGAAGGACGCGCGUUCCAAACAAGCUGCGUCUUACAGUAGGUCACCCGAAGAGGACCGCGGUUACCAUCGUCCAGGUCAUCAUCACAGCCAGACGUUGACGAUGACGAUGGGCGGACGACAGUCAACGGGAACGAUGAAGUCGUCGUACAACGGCGGUGGCCAAGGCAUGAACACUGGCAGGCGGAACACCGGCACGUCGUCCAUGCGGCAGAGCACAAGUGUCGGCCACCUGUCGUCGUUUGGCGGUGACGGAAACUCGCUGUCCAGGCAGGUGAAUUCUGCGUACGAUAACGAAGACGACGACGGGGGCACCAUGCAGGGCAAGAAGAUCAAGAGGACAAAGUCCAUGUGGAAGUUCAAGAAGUCCGGUUCGAGCGACGAAGUGCUGUUGACCGGCAUGUCCAUGUGGAAGCACAGGUCACUGGUGGACGUGAACGCCGCGGACGCGGAGGAUCAGCAGCAGCUGCAGCACAACAACAGUUACAACAACAAGUCGUCGGCGGGCACGCCGGUCGCCAACAAGAAGUUUACGGUGGCGUCGCGGGACAUCGACAUAGCCGCGGACGACGACGACAGCCAAACGAUAAUGAACGGUGGCGUGGGCGGCGGGUCGUCGACGGUGCGGCGGAUGACGUACGACAACCGUAAACAGCAGCCGCAGCAACAGCAACAGCAACCACUGCAGCAGCAUCGGAGCAGGAGAUCGUCCUCGUCGAGUUUCGGCGGCGGCGAUGACUCCGAGUCGUGCAUCGUGGUAGAUGAUCACUUGAAGGACGUCAGAUCGGCACCACCUGCUCCAGCCAGCCUGUUGCCCAGGACCCGAUUGAUCAAGCAGACGGCCGGAAAAGACGGUCAAGGGAACGGUGGCAUGCAGCCGCCGUCCGCGGCCGCGCACCAACAUCACCACAAGCACCACCACAACCAGCAACCGGCCACCAUGAUGAUGAUGAUGCCGCCACCUCCGCCGCCGCCUCCCGCUGUCCGGACCGCGACUGCGGACGACGGGUACGCGCAACACGACUCGGACGCGGACGUCCGAUUUGAGAGCUCCAAACUGCAGACGUUCAAGUACAUCAAUGCGACGCACAACGACGGCUGGUACGACUCGUGGGGAGAGAAGCGAAAGAAGUAGGAUGCCAAAGGUAAAACCCCGCCUCCGUAUACGACUUAUCGGCGUAUAAAAUAUGACGAACGUGUUUGCGACGAUCAAACUGCGCAAAACCAACACCAACGACCGGUCAGCGCCGAAGAUCAUAUAAUAUAAUAAUAUUAUUCGCCAGUCGCCACUAACCGAAAAGAUCAAUCAUAUAGAAAUAUUGUAUGCCAGCAUAAUAUUUUUAUAAAUUUUUUUCUACAAGUUACGUUAUCAGAUUAAGUGAACAAUUUUCUUCGAAAUAUUAUAUCAUAAUAUUUUAUA